CGACAUUUGUACACCUGUAACCAGGGCACCCCGCCUGCAUGUAGCUCAGAUCCACUGCCCGCUGAUCACACAUCUCACAUCCUGCCACUCGGUGAGGAUCUGCCAGCCAGCCGCCCAAGGACUGGAAUCUGUUUGCCCAGUAUGCCAGUGUUGACAUGAUACCUCAUGAUUUGAUACGGAUAAAGUCAGGAACCUGCAGAAAUAAAGUGGAGCCCCUGUGUUUGUGGAUUAAACAGUUAUCACUAGGUAAGCAAACCAUUGAGUCUCACCGUGGAAAUGUAACGAGCCUCUCUCUGUAAACUAUAACAUGUGGAGACAGUGAGUAGGAAUCACAAACCUUGUUCUAACACAGCAGCAACAAACCUAUCCAUAACAAUACAAACGUUUAACACAUUAUGAUCUACAAAAGUUUCCAUGUGUGCUGGUUUUCCUGAGACCCAUCCAGCAAAAAUGCAUUGAAACCUGAGGACGAGGCAAAGCAAGGCUCUGGCAGUUUCUGUAAACAAGCCUUUGAUGCAUGAUGGAUGACUAAUAUUGUGACAUCACUACAAUAAUUGUCUUUAUUACGUAAAAAAAAAAUAGCACAAAGUAUUAUUUUUCUAAACUAAUCUCUGAAAGAUUUAAUCAAACUAAAGGUCUUGAAUGAUUAAACUCGCAUGAAUUAACACUGUUUAUCGUUGUAACCAAUUGAUAUUGAACACCUGCAUUAAAAUCAUGCAAAUUUACUGUACAUCUCUUCACUACUAUGGGCCAGUUUCAAUACCCACACUUGCUCUCUUGGCCACUACAAAGUGGACACAAGUCUGUCCCAGGUCUGAAUAAUGCCAACGCUCAGUGGCUUUAAAUUUCACUAGAUAUCUAGGCUAAGCAUAUCCCAUCAUUCUUUAUGUUUAGCAAUUGAAAGA